rnacentral:rRNA from 1 species
CAGCACCUCAAGUGGUCAGGAUGAUUAUUGGGCCUAAAGCAUCCGUAGCCGGCUCUGUAAGUUUUCGGUUAAAUCUGUACGCUCAACGUACAGGCUGCCGGGAAUACUGCAGCGCUAGGGAGUGGGAGAGGUAGACGGUACUCGGUAGGCAGGGGUAAAAUCCUUUGAUCUAUUGAUGACCACCUGUGGCGAAGGCGGUCUACCAGAACACGUCCGACGGUGAGGGAUGAAAGCUGGGGGAGCAAACCGGAUUAGAGACCCGAGUAGUCC